UUUCUUCAAACUUGUGAGUAAUGAGGAUAAGCACUGAAAUGUGAUGUAUUUCACACACUACAUUUUAGCUAUAUUUCAUGUUUGUCAUCAGCGGCUGAAGUCCACAUCCUGAACCUGCUGGAGACAAUUAAACAGCAACAAGACCAGCUCGUGGCAAAGGUCAACUACCUCUGCAGCAGGAUGAACAGCACCCCGGGGCCAGACGUUGAGAUGCCUGACAGUAUUAAUCUCCCCUUGGAACACCUGGAGGCAGUGGAGGCAUUUGAGGUGUUUUUAAAAGAACCCUCAAACUACCCAGCUCGACAAAGAGUAAUUGCUUCUUUGGCCACAAUUGGAGGCCAGGAUUUGAAGAGGGUGACUUGGAACAUUCUUGGCCGGCUAUACACAGACGACGUGUCCCACCAAAUCAACUGGAAAGGUGCUGUGAGGAAAAACUCUAUCACAAAGUCUGUCACCGAUGCGGAGGUAACCAAGCACACCAUCAGGUGGUUUAACCUGGCCAUGGAUCGGGCGACAAAGAGACGAGGAGGUGUCCGUCCCCCGACAUGUCCCUCACAGCCGUAGUGUUAAUUGAAGCAGUUGAGAACAUAAUCAAUAAAAAAAAAAUAUUGAACGUUUGAUUCUUGUUGUUAACCAGUUUUUAAUUUUCUGAUAUUUUAGCUGUGCAUUGCGCAACAUUUCAUUGAAUUUCAUUGAAGAUGUAGCCUAAUAUAUAAAAUGUAUGCACUAUAGGCCGGUAAAGCACUAAAUGAGUUUCUGACCACAAAAUGAAUGUAGCCACAUUCAUUUAACAGGUUAGCAAAAACAGAAUAGGCUAUAACCGGUAACUUUCCAUAAAGGUCCAUUUUCCAUUGAGAAGUUAUUACUUUUGUACAGUAAACUGAUGUUUUGAAUUGAACCUUUUCUGUUAGGCCUAUUGUAUUGUAAGGUUGAAAAUAUGCAAUGCAGAUUUAAGCUUUAGGGCUAUAUUGCUGUAGUAGGCCUAGUUCUAG
rnacentral:lncRNA from 1 species